rnacentral:rRNA from 1 species
UACGUAGGGCGCAAGCGUCGUCCGGAAUCAUUGGGCGUAAAGAGCUCGUAGGUGGUCUGUUACGUCUGCUGUGAAAUCCUAGGGCUUAACCCUGGGCCUGCAGUGGAUACGGGCAGGCUAGAGGCAGGUAGGGGAGAACGGAAUUCCCGGUGUAGCGGUGAAAUGCGCAGAUAUCGGGAGGAACACCGGUGGCGAAGGCGGUUCUCUGGGCCUGUACUGACGCUGAGGAGCGAAAGCGUGGGGAGCGAACAGG